CUCAGGGAGACGGCGGCCAUCGUUACCCAGGGAGACGAACUACGAGCUCUAAAAGGCCGUCGGACACUGCGCCUACCUGGAGCCCUACGAGUCCCUAUAGGUUCCGGUGUUAAGAGGGUCAGUCGAAGUCCGUCCACCUCAAACCUCAGAAGCACUGCGGCUAACUCCAGGCUAGGCAACUCCCUGGGCGACCUCUACGGCGGUGAGGUGGAGGAGGCCAGGCAGACCUACAGCCCUCUUCACCCCCCGUCCUCUCCUCGCUCCCCCGCGGCCACCCUCCUCCCCCGGGGCCCCCGAGUGCCGCCCAAGGACCCCGGUCAGUACUUUGGCGCCCCUGGGAGGCCCAGUGGGAAGAAGGAUCCGGGGCCGCAGGCUCCCUACAGCGGGCUGAAGGCAGCCUCCGGGCGAUACCUCAGCCGCUCGAUUCCUUCGCUUCAGUCGCAGUACGCAGAAUACUGAGGAGCAAAGCUGGACCAGAAGUAGGAGGCUGGGCUUUAUGGGCCAGCCUCCCUCACCCUACCUCACCCUAACUGACCCUCCCUCCCCCUCCCUCACCCUAACUGACCCUAACUGACCCUCCCUCAGCCUGCCUCACCCUAACUGACCCUACCUCACCCUAACUGACCCUACCUCACCCUAACUGACCCUCCCUCAGCCUGCCUCACCCUAACUGACCCUACCUCACCCUAUCCUUCCCUAGCCUACCAUAGCCUAUUCUGCUCUUCCCUACCGUAACUGACCCUAGCCUAACCUACCCUACCUAACCCUAGAUUAACCUUACCCUACCCUAGCCUACCUUACCCAAGCCUACCUAACCUUACCCUAGCCUAGCCUAGCUUACCUAACCUUACCCCUAGCCUACCCUACCCAAGCCUACAUAACCAUACUCUACCCUAGCCUACCUAACCCAAGCCUACCUAACCCAAGCCUACCCUAGCCUAGCUUACCUAACCUUGCCCUACCCUACCCUAGCCUACCUAAGCCUACCCUACCCUACCCCAGCCUACCUUAUGGACAGGGCAGCUCCAGGAGAACUGCUGUGCCCUACAAUAUGAGCACUGGUUGUUUUGUCUAUAUUAUUACAAUGCAUUGUGGGUACACACUUAAG
ensembl:lncRNA